AAAGGCAAGACACUUUACCACUGCUUUCAGUUUCACUGCUUUUCAUGCCCAGAGAUCUGGACAGCCAUGGCAGAAUCCAGAAAACAGAGUGAAGAUGGAGUGGCCCAGGCAUCAAGGUUGACAGGUACAGGACUGAACUUGACAUCAUAAGGAUGAAGAGGCUGCUUGAGGAUCGGGGUUACACUGUGGUUGUGGCAGAGAACCUUACAACAAUGAAAAUGAAAAAAAUCCAAGAUCACCAAGUUACGAAAAAUAAUAAGACUCAGAGAGGCAAGUAUCACAUGUUUCUUUCAGAUGGGG